rnacentral:rRNA from 1 species
AUUGAACGCUGGCGGAAUGCUUUACACAUGCAAGUCGAACGGCAGCACGGACUUCGGUCUGGUGGCGAGUGGCGAACGGGUGAGUAAUGUAUCGGAACGUGCCCAGUCGUGGGGGAUAACGUAGUGAAAAUUACGCUAAUACCGCAUACGAUCUAUGGAUGAAAGCGGGGGAUCGCAAGACCUCGCGCGAUUGGAGCGGCCGAUAUCAGAUUAGGUAGUUGGUGGGGUAAAGGCCCACCAAGCCAACGAUCUGUAGGUGGUCGGAGAGGAAGACCAGCCACACUGGAACUGAGACACGGGCCAGACUCCUACGGGAGGCAGCAGUGGGGAAUUUUGGACAAUGGGCGCAAGCCUGAUCCAGCCAUUCCGCGUGCAGGAUGAGGGCCCUCGGGUUGUAAACUGCUUUUGUACAGAACGAAAAGGUUUCUACUAAUACUAGGAGCUCAUGACGGUACUGUAAGAAUAAGCACCGGCUAACUACGUGCCAGCAGCCGCCGUAA